GAUGAACGCUGGCGGCGUGCCUAAUACAUGCAAGUCGAGCGAACAGACGAGGAGCUUGCUCCUCUGACGUUAGCGGCGGACGGGUGAGUAACACGUGUAUAACCUACCUAUAAGACUGGGAUAACUUCGGGAAACCGGAGCUAAUACCGGAUAAUAUAUUGAACCGCAUGGUUCAAUAGUGAAAGACGGUUUUGCUGUCACUUAUAGAUGGAUCCGCGCCGCAUUAGCUAGUUGGUAAGGUAACGGCUUACCAAGGCAACGAUGCGUAGCCGACCUGAGAGGGUGAUCGGCCACACUGGAACUGAGACACGGUCCAGACUCCUACGGGAGGCAGCAGUAGGGAAUCUUCCGCAAUGGGCGAAAGCCUGACGGAGCAACGCCGCGUGAGUGACGAAGGUCUUCGGAUCGUAAAACUCUGUUAUUAGGGAAGAACAAAUGUGUAAGUAACUAUGCACGUAUUGACGGUACCUAAUCAGAAAGCCACGGCUAACUACGUG
rnacentral:rRNA from 1 species